AUGUGGCUGAAGGCGUUGACCGUCUUUGAUAGCAAAUGGAGCUGGGGUUCAACGACUCUUGUGUACUUGUACCGACAGCUGGACGAUGCGUGUUGCAGGAUCACAGAUAGGGCAGGCAUUGGUGGUAAUAUGCUUCUACUUUUUGUAUGGAGCUGGGAGCGUCUGCCUGUUGGACGCCCGAAGAGCGUCAGGUUUAAUCCUUGGUAUGAAGAUGAAGAUGACGACUUACGGCGCCCCACUUGGGCUUACAAGUGGGAUGUGGUUUCCGAGAUGAGGAACGAUGUCAAUCUCAUGUACCAAAAGUACAUUGCCGAGUUGGACACGAUUACGCCUGAGCAGGUGGAAUGGCAGCCAUAUGGCGCCGAUGACAGACUUGGGUACACCCCGGAGUUUUCCAUCAACCCGAUGUGCUUGCGGGAUAGGGAUCUCUGGCUUAUGCGCUGCCCACUGAUAUGCAACUGGGCUGUUGAGUUUCAUUUGCCACAUCGCGUGUUUCGCCAGUUUGGUCUGUUCCAGCCUCACCCGCCGGAAUGGGUGGAUACGGACAAAGCACAUCAUAGGUUGGACAGGAGAAGGCAGCGGAAGAUAAAGGACUGGGACAAGCAUCAUGCUUCGUAUGUUACCCGCUUCCAGCUUUGCGCGGAGCAAGCUCGUAGCAGUGCACGCGGCCAGCUUCGUGAGCAUAACCCACUUGCUUUUGAUAACUACAUACGAUGGCUUCUUGAAAAUACUCGAGUUGAGAUAUGCCCGCCGGCAUAUAAUGAGGAUAUUCUUGAAGAACCCGUGAACUUUGAGGAUCUAUCAAAGGGGAAGUACAACAGAGAUGUCAGGGUAGGGCAAGGAGUCCCUGCUGUUCCAGUGAUUAACUAUGUCGUAACGUGUUCCUUCUUUACUUUCCCGUUGUCCGUAUUACACAUGUUUGAAUGGCUAACGUGUUCAUUCUUUCUCAUCCACAGCGCACCGAGAUCAAGAAAGCAGCUGAUGAGAGCUAGUCUAUUCUGGAGAACACACCGGUUGGAAAAGGCAAUGAUGAUGGUUCACUACGAGCAUUCCUCAAGGUACAUAUCGCAUUCACUAUGA
rnacentral:rRNA from 1 species